GCUUCAGUACGACCAAGUCAGAACUAUAAGUCUCGAAGCCCCGACGAGUAGGGUGGCGUGCCGGUGAGCGUUGAAGGCCAAGACGUGAGUCAGGCUGGAGCCGCCGGUAGUGCAGAUCUUGGUGGUAGUAGCAAGUACUCUGGUGAACCAACCUGGAGCUGUGAGGUCUGGAUUAGGGUUCCAUGUCAACAGUGAUUGAACAUGGGUGAGUCGCACCUAAGCCAGCUGCGAAGGCAGUGACAUCCCGACAAAGGUGCAUAGGGGGUGUGCCCGGCGCUCGCGCACACACACUCGCAACACUCGCCUCCUCAGGAAAUGGUGACGCUUUUCAAUACGCUCAAGGGCGUUGUGUGGCAAGCAAAAAGGCCAGCAUUAGUUAGGGGCAAAAGGACUUACUAGUGGCAAGCAAAAAGGCCAGCACACGGAGGCGAUGAGCUUGUGUUGUUGUCAAUGCGUUUGAGAUGCGCACACUAUGCUGUCUGCGUUGGUUCUUUGUCCGGCGAAAGGGAAUGGGGACUUUGUUCCUUGACCGGUCCCGGCACCCUCGAUAGGCUUUGCCAUUCAAUGGUCCAUGCAAAUGGAACCAGGCCACAGCCGCCGGCAGUCGCCCGAGGAAGAGUUUUCUUUUCUGCUUAACGCACGAGAUCAUCCCUGGAAACAGUUCGGCUGGCGAAAGGGUGCCCCGCUGCGGCAGAGCGCCACGACUGUCGUGCGCGNCUCGGUGUACCUGCCGGUCCGUGAAAACGUGGUCCANGGGAUUGCACUUGUAAUCUACGAAACGCCCGACAAGUUCGGGACGGACCGUACCCUAUAUCCGCAUCUGGUCUCCAAGGUUCGUAGCCUCUGCAGAGUCAGACACAUGUAGGUAAGGGAAGUCGGCAAACUCGAUCCGUAACUUCGGGAAAAGGAUUGGCUCUGAGGGCCGAGCUGGGCCGGGCCUUGCCUGCAAAGCAGUACCUAUAGUGACCGGAGUUUAAUGGAGUGCGAGGGGCUCUAGUAGCUGCCU
rnacentral:rRNA from 1 species